rnacentral:rRNA from 1 species
GACGAACGCUGGCGGCAGGCCUAACACAUGCAAGUCGAGCGAGCGGCGGACGGGUGAGUAAUGUCUGGGAAACUGCCUGAUGGAGGGGGAUAACUACUGGAAACGGUAGCUAAUACCGCAUACCAUCAGAUGUGCCCAGAUGGGUUUAGCGAGUAGGUGGGGUAACGGCUCACCUAGGCGACGAUCCCUAGCUGGCCUGAGAGGAUGACCAGCCACCCUGGAACUGAGACACGGUCCAGACUCCUACGGGAGGCAGCAGUGGGGAAUAUUGCGCAAUGGGGGCAACCCUGACGCAGCCAUGCCGCGUGAAUGAAGAAGGCCUUCGGGUUGUAAAGUUCUUUCGGUGACGAGGCAUUAAUCACAGAAGAAGCACCGGCUAACUCCGUGCCAGCCGCCGCGGUAAUAC